GAUGAACGCUGGCGGUAUGCCUAACACAUGCAAGUCGUACGAGAGUUUUUAACUCUAGUGGCGGACGGGUGAGUAACACGUGAGAAUUUGCCUUUAGGAGGGGGAUAACAAUUGGAAACGAAUGCUAAUACCCCAUAUGCUUUCGAGUGAAAUGGAUUUAUAUUUAUCCGCCUAGAGAGAAGCUCGCGGCUGAUUAGCUUGUUGGUAAGGUAAGAGCUUACCAAGGCGACGAUCAGUAUCUGGUUUGAGAGGACGAUCAGACACACUGGAACUGAGACACGGUCCAGACUCCUACGGGAGGCAGCAGUGGGGAAUUUUCCGCAAUGGGCGAAAGCCUGACGGAGCAAUACCGCGUGAGGGAAGACUGCCUAUGGGUUGUAAACCUCUUUUUUCAGGGAGGAAUAAAAUGA
rnacentral:rRNA from 1 species